CAAGACAUGUUUUGACUAUGAUGAAGAAGAGAUGUCAGUCGGCCUGUUGAGCGUGAUCCCUGAGCUGAGGACUCUAGAGCCAUACCUAACUCACUGCAUUUAAUGCCACAUCUACUGCAAUAUUUUUGGAAGGUACAAUUGUAUUGGAUGAUCUGGAAAAUCCUCCCCAAGAUAUGCCUGCUCUUUGGACUUGGAUUUAUGCUAUGAAAUUAUAGUAUCCUCCAGUACUGAAGUACACCUUUGAUUUCAUUCAAUGGCUGAACCUAGAAUGCAAUCUCUGAAAAAUCUUCUGAUGUAGAAAGAUGUCAUUGUGGCGUGAUGGAGCAUUUUUCAGUGUAA